GUCAGCACCUCUUCUUGAAAGAAGAGGCUUAGGGCUCUUUUCUUUGAUAGCUGACCAGCUUAAGUUCCUCUCACGGGGCUACGUUUAGGGGAAGCGUUAAAAGUCCUACCUUAGAAUGCGAAGCCAGUUCUAAGCUCUAGAACCAAGCAGUUAAACAGUUGUAGCAAGAGGUAAAACAGUGCUGCGAAAGAAAGUUACCGCCCUUAAACUUUGGCGAGGCUCACUUAAC
rfam:Halothece sp. PCC 7418, complete genome.